GUGCCAGCAGCUGCGGUAAUACGAAGGGGCUAGCGUUGUUCGGAUUUACUGGGCGUAAAGCGCACGUAGGCGGACUUUUAAGUCAGGGGUGAAAUCCCGGGGCUCAACCCCGGAACUGCCUUUGAUACUGGAAGUCUUGAGUUCGAGAGAGGUGAGUGGAAUUGCGAGUGUAGAGGUGAAAUUCGUAGAUAUUCGCAGGAACACCAGUGGCGAAGGCGGCUCACUGGCUCGAUACUGACGCUGAGGUGCGAAAGCGUGGGAGCAAACAGGAUUAGAUACCCUGGUAGUCCACGCCGUAACUAUGAGAGCUAGCCGUCGGGCAGUAUACUGUUCGGUGGCGCAGCUAACGCAUUAAGCUCUCCGCC
rnacentral:rRNA from 1 species